GUGAACGCUGGCGGUAGGCCUCACCCCUGCAAGUCGCACGGCAGCACAGUAAGAGCUUGCUCUUACGGGUGGCGAGUGGCGGACGGGUGAGGAAUACAUCGGAAUCUACUUUUUCGUGGGGGAUAACGUAGGGAAACUUACGCUAAUACCGCAUACGACCUACGGGUGAAAGCAGGGGAUCUUCGGACCUUGCGCGAUUGAAUGAGCCGAUGUCGGAUUAGCUAGUUGGCGGGGUAAAGGCCCACCAAGGCGACGAUCCGUAGCUGGUCUGAGAGGAUGAUCAGCCACACUGGAACUGAGACACGGUCCAGACUCCUACGGGAGGCAGCAGUGGGGAAUAUUGGACAAUGGGCGCAAGCCUGAUCCAGCCAUACCGCGUGGGUGAAGAAGGCCUUCGGGUUGUAAAGCCCUUUUGUUGGGAAAGAAAAGCAGCAGGUUAAUACCCCGCUGUUCUGACGGUACCCAAAGAAUAAGCACCGGCUAACUUCGUG
rnacentral:rRNA from 1 species